UCUCUGUUAGGUUGGUUGGGUAAGGACCCAGCCCUACAAUAGUUCAGAAGAGAGAAAAAUCCUUCCUAACUGAGGAAUCCAAGAAGGCAUCAUGGAGAAGAUUGUGAAGAGACCAACAUGAAUUAAUUAGUGUUAACUACCACACGCUUCACUAAUAGUCUGCCAACACAAAGGUUUCCUUCCAUGCCAAGAUGAGAGACAUGUUCAGGAUGAUGAGAGAGACCUGCCACAACACCUGAAAAUGAGGGACUUUUGAAGGGUAAACCAACAGCUCACAAGCUCCCUGGAUUGAAAUGCUAUUUCAGGAGAAGAAAUCUCUGAGGAUAAAAUACAUGAGAUUCUUCUGCACAGUAAAAAGAAUAUCUUUGCCUUCUUCAUAGAUGUUAAGGCAUUCACACCACCUACAGGCUUAGGCUAUUUGGAUUCUUCAGACCAUAAACCAAAGGAUAAUGUUUGAGUGAACCUGGUGAAGAAAGAACAGUUCAAUGCAUUUUGAAUAAAUGUUCAGCUACACCUUCAUACUAUUGAAUUAUUAACCGUUGGUAAUAAAAAGCAAACAAAAAAAAAAGUCCAAAGCAGAUCUCCAGGUUGGGCUGUUGUCCUUCUGGUAGACUGGAAGAUUCCUGUAGGCAGGACUCUUGACUUAUUUAAACUAUUUUUAAAAAUUUCUUCCAGGGCCCUACUCAGUGCUCUGAACAGAGA